AGAAGAUGGUAAGGGCAAACGGUGGAUGCCUUGGCACAAGAAGCCGAUGAAGGACGUGAUAAGCUGCGAUAAGCCACGGUAAGGAGCACAUAUCCUGUGACCCGUGGAUUUCCGAAUGGGUAAACCCACCAAGAGUCAUUUCUUGGUACUUCCUGCUGAAUAUAUAGGCAGGAUAGAGGUAACCGGGGGAACUGAAACAUCUAAGUACCCCGAGGAAGAGAAAUCAAACGAGAUUCCCCUAGUAGUGGCGAGCGAACGGGGAUAUAGGACAAACCGUCAGUUGCGCAAGCGCUGACGGGGUUGUAGGACCAUUCAUUGUGGAGUUACAAAACUUCGUGGAAGCAGAACAGUUUGGAAAAAUUGGCGAGACAGGGUAAAAGCCCCGUACGCGAAUCUGCGGAGACUCCCGAGUGGCACCUGAGUACUGCCGGACACGUGAAACCCGGUGGGAACCUGGGGGGUCCACCCUCCAAUCCUAAAUACUCUCUUGUGACCGAUAGUGAACCAGUACCGUGAGGGAAAGGUGAAAAGCACCCCUAGCGGGGAGUGAAAUAGUACCUGAAACCGUUUGCCUACAAGCAGUCGGAGCAGACUUUUGUCUGUGACGGCGUGCCUUUUGUAGAAUGAGCCAGCGAGUUACGGCAUGUGGCAAGGUUAAGCUAAAAAGCGAGCCGCAGCGAAAGCGAGUCUGAAUAGGGCGAGUGAGUCGCAUGUCGUAGACGCGAAGCCAGGUGAGCUAUCCAUGAGCAGGCUGAAGCGGGGGUAAGACCCCGUGGAGGGCCGAACCCACUUAGGUUGAAAACUGAGGGGAUGACUUGUGGAUAGGAGUGAAAGGCCUAUCAAACCUGGAGAUAUCUCGUUCUCUCCGAAAUAGCUUUAGGGCUAGCCUCGGAUGUUUACCAAUGGGGGUAGAGCACUGAAUAGUUGCGGGGGCUUCACCGCCUACCAAGAUUAAUCAAACUCCGAAUACCAUUGGUCUAGAAUCCGGGAGUCAGAAUAUGUGGGCUAAGCUGUGUAUUCGAAAGGGAAACAGCCCAGACCGCCCGCUAAGGUCCCAAAAUCAAUGCUAAGUGGCAAAGGAUGUGCGUUUGCUCAGACAACCAGGAUGUUGGCUUAGAAGCAGCCAUUCAUUUAAAGAGUGCGUAAUAGCUCACUGGUCGAGUGGACAUGCGCCGACAAUAUACGGGGCUAAGCAUUGUACCGAAGCGGCGGAUCAGUACUUUGUACUGGUGGUAGGAGAGCUUUCUGUACGGGUUGAAGCAGUUGGAUAACCAACUGUGGACUGUCCAGAAGUGAGAAUGCUGGCAUGAGUAACGAGAGACAUGUAAAAAACAUGUCCGCCGUAAACCCAAGGUUUCCUGGGCAAGGCUAAUCCUCCCAGGGUUAGGCGGGAGCUAAGGCAAGGCCGGAAGGCGUAGUCGAUGCACAACAGGUAGAAAUUCCUGUCCCUCCAAAAGAGCGUUAUCACCAAUGGGGUGACGGAGAAGGGUAGCUAGGCGGGGUUCUGGACGUCCCCGUGAUGACACGUAGGCUGAGAAGUAGUGAAAUGCGCUUCUCAUAUGGCUGAGGUGUUGGACGAAGCAAUUGAGUGAAGCUAGUAAGCCCAUACUUCCAAGAAAAACCUCUAGGGAGCUCUGAGGAGCCCGUACCGCAAACCGACACAGGUGGGUGGGUAGAGCAUACCAAGGCGAUCGGGAGAACUAUGGUUAAGGAACUCGGCAAAAUUGCCCCGUAACUUCGGGAGAAGGGGUGCCGGUUUCGGUGAAGGGAUUUACUCCCCGAGCUAAGAUCGGUCACAGUAAAUAGGUCCAAGCGACUGUUUAUCAAAAACACAGGACUCUGCUGAAGUCGUAAGACGACGUAUAGGGUCUGACGCCUGCCCGGUGCCGGAAGGUCACGAGGAGUUGUUAGCAUUAGCGAAGCAGCGAAUCUAAGCCCCGGUAAACGGCGGCCGUAACUAUAACGGUCCUAAGGUAGCGAAAUUCCUUGUCGGGU
rnacentral:rRNA from 1 species